AAAGGAAGGUUAUGACGUGUGUAGUUAGAUCUGUAGAGGAAACUUUAUAUUCCCUAUUAAAAUGGAUUCUAUGCUUGCUCAGGAGAUUCAGUCCCUCUAAUGAUAAAAGUUUUGAUAUCCAGAAAUGGAUAGUAGAGUUCUUAUACUGAAGGACAUCAUUACUGCAACUUGCUCUAGGGUGCCUCAAGGGAUAGUGAAAGGUCAGAAAGCUGUUGUAAUAAUGUGAUGUAUCAGAGCUUCCCAUUAAUAGUAUGGAGGGUUUAAAAGGCCCCUCAUGCUGAAGACAUUCUGUCCUAGGAAGGAGGAGAACAUAGCUUCUUGCAUUCUCUGGAUGCUGAUAAUAUAUGAAGUGGCACAUCCUUGAACUCUUCAGUGAGACUGGCUCCUCUGAAGUCAUUAUAUUAAGCAAGUGUUAGGGUGCCAUGUGCUUAUAUAUUUGUGUGUGUGUGUAGUGUGUGUGUGAUUAGAGGAAGGCCGGGACUGUAAUCCUAGUACAAAGCUGCCUCAGAAGUGUGAAAUGUGGGUUAUACAUUUGUUAAAUAAGUAUUGUGAAAAUGGAGCAUACCACAUUACAGCUUACCCCCCAUUAAUGUUCUGUAUUCAGAUGAAAAAGGCUGCAAUCCUGUGGGAAUGUUCAGGGAUGCAGGAGAGGAUAUAUUGUUUGAUGAUAUCCUUCCUAACUUGCUAGGAUUCCUGGUAAGAUCCCUUCUUGUCCCUCUUAAAAGGAAUAGACACGACAGUCUUAUCAAAGUCAAUAUAAAAGUAGUUUACUCACAAUCAUUCAGUUCACAGUUGGAUCCCUGAAGGCAGACUUAGGUUGCAAAACUAUAUACACAUGUGUAACUAUCCCAUUAGGGAGUUAGUGCCUAAGUGACUGUGGAUAGGCAGUCACUUCUGCUAACACAUGGAACAGCAAAAUGGAGAAGAGCCAAAGAAAGGAGCUGUGCUCCCUUGCCCAGGUUAGGCCACACACACACACACACACACACACACACACACAGGCCUCUAGUCCCAUGCAGAAGAAGUUUGUCACAGCUCAGGAGGAAAUGGGAAGUUAAACUCCUGGCUGGUACAAAGCAUCCACUAGCAUGUCCACUCUAGGAAUGUUGUACUUGACAGCUAUGUGUUUCACAUCCCACAAAUCCUAUAUGCAUUUUCAUUAAAGUCUUAUUGAACUCAGUGGGUCCUGUUUCUGAGUUUAUAGGGCAACUGUUUAUAGGACUUGGGCAUCAAGUGCAGAAGGGAGGAGUUUACAAAUUAACUAAAUAAUACCACACUUCUCAUUCUGCAUGCUAAUUUCAUUUAUAGCUCUGCAAGAGAUUGCAGUUUGGUUUUUAUAUAUACAUACAAAAAGACAGAAGACACAAUCGUAAAUCUGCCAUAUCAUGAGUAAUUUGGUCCCGAGUGCCUGUGAAAACAUGAAUGUGACAAAAAGGAAAUGCGGAGCCAUUCUUCUAAAAGGUAGCAAAGCCUCAGUUUCUAUUUGUGUGCAUUCUCAUUCAGGAAAUAUAUUUAGCCUGUGCUCUUGAACCAUCUUACUCAUAAGUGUUUGAAAUUGUCAAGUUGCUCCCAUCUUUCUUUUAUGAAACUCUGGCUUAUGUGACAGCCAGCUGUGUCCCUCAUAACUCUGAUAACUGCUGAACAGCUGAGAAGCAGCCCUGAUGUAAAGGAAUGAGAGGGAGGGCGGCCUGCUCACAAGGCUGACCGUGGCCAGCUUAAUGAAACAGCAACCGAUCCACGUGCAACUUGCAACUUUUUUUCCUUGGGAUGAGUAGGAAUCCACACCCCUUCUGUAUUUGUAAGAACUUGAUUAUUUAUUGCAGCAGCGCCUACAUACCCUCCAACCAGGACGCCCAUCUUCUGGAGGCACUGUGGUCUAAAGCACUGAGCCUCUUGGGCUUGCUAAUCAGAAGGUCGACGGUUCGAAUCCCCGCAACGGGGUGAGCUCCCGUUGCUCUGUCCCAGUUCCUGCCAACCCAGCAGUUCGAAAGCAUGCCAGUGCAAGUAGAUAAAUAGAUACAGCUGUGGCGGGAAAGUAAACGGUGUUUCCAUGUGCUCUGGUUUCCGUCAUGGUGUUUAGUCAUGCUGGCCACAUGACCUGGAAGAGCUGUCUGUGGACAAGCGCCGACUCCCUUGGCCUGAAAGCGAGAUGAGCACCACAACCUCAUAGUCACCUUUGACUGGACUUAACCGUCCAGUGGUCCUUUAACUUUUUUUACUAUAUAUCUCCAUAUGCCUUUGAAUAAUAGUUCCAUAUCAUCAUCAUCAAACCUUUUAUUGGCAUCACAUACAAACACCCAUAGCAAAUCAAUACAAAAUUACUGCCUUCCCAGUGACACAAACCAAUUGUCAAAUGAAAGAGGCAAAGCAGUCUAACAUUACAUCUCUAGGUCUCCAGGGAGAUCAGACAUCUGCAAUGUGUUUCGCCGACAAAAAACCAGAUAAAGAUAUUUAGCCACUAACUUGGUGAGCUCCUGAUUAUUCCCCAAUAAUAGAAAAUGUAUGACCUCUAACUCUGCUUUCGUGCUCGAGAAUCUGGACUUCAUCUGCCCUGACCAACCUUGACUUCAUCUUGACUGGAGACUUUAAUGCCUGCCUAGGCCAAGGGUGGGAAGUGUCUACAAAAGCAUGGGAGAUCUUGGAUACUGACUGCGUCUCCAGGAAAAUGACUAGGAAAAAGAAGCGACCGGUCUCAUCUCCACAAGUGAGCCCACAGCAGAAGUGCAAUAGUUCCAUAUGUCUCCCCUCAACAAAGCCAGAUCUUGAAAGUUGUCGCCUGCAUGCAAUCUUUCUGCAACACAGCCUUCACUUUGGGAAAGAAAACCCCAGGGCGUUAGGAAUUAAGAGAACCAUGUAUUGGACUGCUGUCAUUGUUUACUCUUCCUUCUAUCUUGACUGAAUGCUUGGAAAGGGUGACCAGUGCCAGACUUCAGCCUCGGGUUACAUACACUUCAGGUUACAUACGCUUCAGGUUACAGACUCCGCUAACCCAGAAAUAGUACCUCGGGUUAAGAACUUUGCUUCAGAAGGGGGGCCACUAGGAGCGCAUCGGAAGAUGGCUGACAAUAACAUCUCUCCGACCCACACGAGGUAAUUAAGAGGCUGUGAUGGGAGUAAACAGCCUCCCUGCCCCCCCCAAGCGUGUGGGGGGGGACUGCCCUUGCCUGCUGUGCCCUAUACCACCCCCGAAUUUGUGGGGGUGGGGGCACUAGGCAGAAAGCCCUUGUGUGGAUCUCGGCGCUCCUGGACGCUGUUUCUGACUUGCACCUCUAGCUGCAGUAACUUCAAAAAAACAAUUAGGAGGAAGCUAAUGCACAUAUUUCAAGGAAGAAGGGGGAGUAAAGACUGCUAACUGAAGAGAUCUCUGAUAAACAAGACGGGUCGGAGGAACAAGAAUAAAUCAUGAGAAGACACACCAAGGCUCGGUAUGUUCGGCAACGGGACUGGAUGGGGGAGGGGGGAAAACUUUUCUUUCUUUUCUCUAUGUGAUUAACCAAGAAUCCCCCCCCCACAAGUCACAAGUCAGAAAUGCCGUUUAAAUGACUUAAGCUGUGGAUUUAAGACUGUGUGGAGAUAAUUUUCUAACCAAAGCAUGUUUCAAGAAGAUCGUGGAAAGCAUAAGAGCUUUGGAAUGACGCAGCAAAAAAUACUGUCACCAUUUUGGCAAGUUCUGUCGGAAGACUUAUAUCUGGGAGGAGGAACAGAUCUGUUUUUAUAUUGUGGGUGAACCUCCUCAGAGGGACUAAAGAGCGACAGAUUUGCGAGAUUAAUGAUGGAAAGAGUGCUGUUAUUUAUGAAAGUGAUGAUAUAUGGAAACCAUCUUGAUAUGAUGAUUGGAUGAACGGAAAAAUUCACACAGGAUUAUAAUUGGUGUUUACCUGCUUAAGGAGAUUAUCAGAAGAGAUCAUAAAGAAAAAAAGAAGAAUAUACGAACAAGAUGAGAUGUGGAAACAGCAAGAUAAGACUGGAUAGAAUUAUGAACAUUAUUUGGACAGAUUUGUGGAUAUUAACGCAGCAGCAAGAAGAUAAUCGGAAUCCCCUUCGGAACUUGAAAUAUGGGUCCCCCCAACAAAAAUUUAAAAUUCGGCUUUGUAAUUCGGAAUUUAUGUGAUGUGAUUUGAUUUGAUUUGAUUGGUCAGUUAAUAAAAAUUAUUUUUUUUAAAAAAAGAACUUUGCUUCAGAAUGAGAACAGAAAUUGUGCGGUGGCACGGCAGCAGCAGGAGGCCCCAUUAGCUAAAGUGGUGCUUCAGGUUAAGAGCAGUUUCAGGUUAAGAACAGACCUCCAGAACGAAUUAAGUUCUUAACCCGAGGUACCACUGUCCUGUAUUAAGCUGCAAAACAGGUGCAUGUCUCUGCCACUGAGUAGUGACUAGGUGGGGAUGUCGUUACCUGAUCAGCUGCAGGGGUCUUGCAAAUUUCAGCGGUGACCUGUACGAGGCCAGAAUUGGGCACCUGCUUCUCAUGCCUUCCGUUCUGCUCAAUUCUUGCGUUUUAUUGAAAAGCCAUUCCCUCGCCUGAGUAACGGACAGGUGGUGUAGAAGUAAGCUUGGCACCCAGUGUGGAGAAGUUGGUCACGCUGCCCUAAAUCUGCCUCGAAUUGAGAUGUUCUCAAUUCGAAUUGAAGCUGGUUUGUGGGGUGGGGGAAACACAUCAAAACAAAGUAUUUCGCAAUAAUCUACAGGAUCAAUGUGCUGCUACUUUUUAUGUAAACAGCUUCCCAAACCAGCACACUAGAUGCAGAGUAAGUGCAAACACGUACACAGCCCAUGUCCAAUAGCUCUAUCACACUGGCUCUCUGCUGUGUAUUCCACUUACAAUGGAAUAGUUUAUACUGGUAAAUCAAGCUGGCUUUGACAGGAAAUGACCUAUGAUAUAUGUAAGAACUACCUUUCCUGACCCACAGCAAAACAAACAAACAAACAAACAAACAAACAAACCCACUAGUAUAGCCCAUCGGCAUAGCCAGGAUUUAUAGAGCGGAGGGAUAGGAUACUGGGAAACCUCCAGUCAUUUCUAGACAGGCCCUGAAGGGGGAAAUUGCCGGAAACUAUGAGAAGCCAGACGUUCAGGUUCAAAAGAACAUUCGCAAACCAGAACACUCACUUCCGGGUUUGCGGCGUUCAGGAGCCAAAACAUUUGACUCACAAGGCACUUGACUUCCGAGGUACGACUGUAUUUUUGCCUGUUUCUUGCAGUGAGUAUGGCAGACACCUGCUGAAGCUAUUCUGAGCUAUCGAGAGCCAGUGUGGUGUAGUGGUUAAGAGCGGUAGACUCGUAAUCUGGUGAACCGGGUUCGCGUCUCCACUCCUCCACAUGCAGCUGCUGGGUGACCUUGGGCUAGUCACACUUCUCUGAAGUCUCUCAGCCCCACUCACCUCACAGAGUGUUUGUUGUGGGGGAGGAAGGGAAAGGAGAAUGUUAGCUGCUUUGAGACUCCUUCGGGUAGUGAUAAAGCGGGAUAUCAAAUCCAAACUCUUUUUCUUCUUCUUCCUGGCAAAAACAGCCAGCAUACACACAGACACACUUCUCUAUUUAUAAGGACACAUCAGUAUGGUAGAAAUAGUCAAUUUCUAAGCUAUUUAUCAUGCACAUCAGCUGUAGGAUCCACAUGGCAUCUGAGAAAUAAGAUCAGCGGUGGGUAUGAAUCAGUAUUUGAUUAUCCAUACUGUAGAACUCUAUCUCAGACUAUAUCAAUUCUCGUACAGAACAGAUGGCAGCAUCUUAUUUGAAUGUACUUGAAUAAUCGUAUUUAGUCCAUUGAAAACACACACACACACACACAAACUAGAAACAGCUUAAAAGGAUCUAAUCCUAAAAGCUUAUCUUCUGGGCAAUAGCCAUUUUUCAUGUGGAGACAGAUCUCACUAUAGUUGGGCGUCCCUGCCCUGGCAAACAUUUCUAAUACAAAUAGACCCAUCUUUUUGGAGUUGUUUUCAUUAGCGAAAAAUAUUACAGAUCCCCUUUUCAUUUUUGGUUUUUUAAGUUUAUUAUUGCCAUGAUCUAGCCUGUUCUUAUCCCCAUGUUGGAGCCUGUGUGCUUGAUGCCCAGACACAACCUGGCCUGACAUGACCCCUCUCUGAACUUGAUGUUAUAAAAUGUAAUGUGCUCUCCAGCAUUUGUCAGAUGAAGCUGAGUACCAGAUACAUUUAUGUGUGAGAGAAAUUCCUCAAAGUGAACUCAAAAGCAAGUAGCACAAAUGGCUCGGUGCCUUUUCUAUCCAUAAAAUGACUCUAGAAAACUUUGAAAUGUGUACUUCUUACUGGUUUAAAGCGUAUUGUUUGCACCGAUAUUUUUUCACAUACCCAAUCUUUAUAUUUUAAGGAUUUCAUACAAAUAUAGCUUCCAAAUACAAUUUUUUUCUCUCUUCAAAAUUUGGAAUAGGGUAGUAAAGUUCUAUAACAAAUCAACAAUUAUUUGCUAGCAAAUAAACAUUUUGGUUAAUGCUUGGUGAAUUUGUUUGAUGUUACAGACUGAAAGAGAAUAAUACUUUUUUCUUUUAAAAAAGAGUAUGUUAUUAAUCUUAUAGUAAAAUAACAUUGAUCAAUUCCAACAAAACCCAUAGGGGUUGUUGUUCUAGCACAUGAAUUUAACCAGCCUUUUUUUGUUUCAGACCAGAACGGAGUCUGAAACUAGUGUUUUUAAUAUACCAAUUGUUUAGAAAAUUUUACUUUCUGUAACUAAGCAACAUUUUGACUGCCAGUGCUUUUUUCUUUUCUUUUUACUGCUGCAUGGAAAAGCACAUGAAACUAACUUUGAAGAGUUUUGUAAGUAAAGUGUUUUAUGACUUACCAAACAUGUGAUCUAGCUCUACUGUAUGCUAGUGAAGUGGGAUAGCUUGGAAAUAGCUUUUAAAGGGGGAUAUUGGGGGGCUCACUGGAAGGGCACAUUUUAAAGGUUUUACAGACUAUAUUUCCACCCUUUACUUUCCUGCAUGUUUUGUGAUGGUAAAUCUUCGCUGGGUGUCAUGGGCCAGAAGUCGAAGAAGCAGAAGGCAGAAUGACUCCACCUGCUGCUGAUCAGCCUUCUUGCUCCUGAGGAGAACCAACUAUCUUAAGCUGGGUUUUCAACCUCAGUCAGUUGUUGGAAACAACACCUGUCAUUCCUGGCCAGACCUUGCUGCUUCAUGCUUCUUGUGACCUUGGACUCUUGUCUUUCUUGACCCCUGGAUUGUCUGACUACGUGAACUGAGAUACGCCUAAUCUUAGGACUGGACUGGACUGGACCUUGUAUACCAACUCUGCCUCCAGGCAAGUACCCCCUGAGCUUCAGCUGGCUUCUCCCUCCACUGAGCUCUGCCAUGGCUGGCAGCACAGGACUAUGACACUAGGGUUCUCUCACCAAAGAAAGCUUGCCUGAAACUUCAAUCUUGGCUUCCAAAAUUCCAACAUGAUCUUUAUAAGGGGAGGGUCUAGAGCAGGAGUCAGCAAUUUUUUUCAGCAGGGGGCCGGUCCACUGUCUCUCAGACCUUGUGGGGGGCCGGACUAUAUUUUUUGGGGGAAAAUGAGGCAAGAUCACCACGAGCCCCAGUGGCUGCUUACCUGUGUCUUGUGAGCGGCAGGAGCUGGCAGCGGUGGGGGGACGAUGAGUCGUGCCGAAAGGGCUCUGGAGAGGGGCUGCUUAAAAUGGCGACCGCUCAAGCGCUGCUGCUGCUGGCACCAACAAAGCCCAGCCCCCUUCCUCCUCUAGGCAGGGCAGGGAGAAGCCAGGAGGAGGGAGGGAGGAGGUGCCGCGUGAGGGAGAGGGAGGGAGAGGGAAAGAACGCACAAACUGGCGAUCCACAUGGCGAUUCCCGGACCAUCCGCGGGCCGGAUCCAGAAGGCAAUUGGGCCUGAUCUGGCCCACGGGCCUUAGUUUGCCGACCCAUGGUCUAGAGCACUGUCUAGUGAUAGAACGGCCAAUACUGGGUUUGGAUUCAGAGGCUGAUUCAUAAUAAUGGAAACAACAUCAAAAUGAGAACAAGACUUUAAGAAGAGGUAACCAACUCUAUGGUCUCCCACCGCCAUGUUGUUGAGCUACAACUCUGAUCACACCCAAUGCAUGUUUAUUAAGAAGUGAGUCCCACUGAGUUCAAUGCAACUUAAUCCCAGGUACGUACGUAUAGGAUUACCACCUCCAAUAGCACAUUGCAGGCCUCCACAGUAGCAUGAAUGCCUUUAACUCUCAUCUUUUUAACCUCAGGUAGUAUUGCAAUAUUCAGUGAAUGUCACCCACAUUGUUCUUUCCCCCUUUCCUUGUUUCUGCCUGAGGUACAACAGAAGGAAGUGCCAUCUCUGUUUUAUAUGGUGUGUUGUUGGGGACGCAAGUCUGUCAACCCUCGGGCAACAGUUUCCGUGUGUCUGUAGCCUGUCCAUCACAGGAGUGGUUUCUUCCUGACUGCUAGACAUGGCUUUGACUGAUCCCACUGUCGAGGCAGACAGGAAAGCCUUGCUUAGCUGCUAUUAAAGGGUACAGCCCAUAUCUCAUAAAAAAAUAAACGGUGAGCCAUUUAUUAUCAUUGCUCUGUUUUGCCCUCAAAAGCACCAAUCCCAGUAUUUGGCGAUAAGCCAAAUCCAGCUGGAUGUUAAAACCUUUAUAAUCAGC